rnacentral:rRNA from 1 species
CUACGGGAGGCAGCAGUGGGGAAUAUUGGACAAUGGGCGAAAGCCUGAUCCAGCAAUGCCGCGUGUGCGAUGAAGGCCUGAGGGUUGUAAAGCACUUUCGUUGGGAAAGAAAUGCUCAAAGCUAAUACCUUUGAGAGUUGACGUUACCCAAAGAAGAAGCACCGGCUAACUCUGUGCCAGCAGCCGCGGUAAUACAGAGGGUGCAAGCGUUAAUCAGAGUUACUGGGCGUAAAGGGCGCGUAGGCGGAUACUUAAGUCGGAUGUGAAAUCCCUGGGCUCAACCUAGGAACUGCGUUCGAUACUAAGUGCCUAGAGUAUGGUAGAGGAAAGUGGAAUUCCCGGUGUAGUGGUAAUAUACGUAGAUAUCGGGAGGAACAUCAGUGGCGAAGGCGACUUUCUGGGCCAAUACUGACGCUGAGGCGCGAAAGCGUGGGGAGCAAACAGGAUUAGAUACCCUCGUAGUC